GCAGACACAUUCCAGCCAAUCAGCAGCAGACCCUCCCUCCCAGACCCUCCCACCUCCUGGACAGCAUCCAUUUUAUAUUCAUUGUGAAGCUGCAUUCUUAGUGAGCUGUCCAGGAGGUGGGAGGGUCUGGGAGGGAGGGUCUGCUGCUGAUUGGCUGGAAUGUGUCUG